rnacentral:rRNA from 1 species
UGUUUGAUGUUCUAACGUGGACCCGUGAUCCGGGUUGCGGACAGUGUCUGGUGGGUAGUUUGACUGGGGCGGUCUCCUCCUAAAGAGUAACGGAGGAGCACGAAGGUUGGCUAAUCCUGGUCGGACAUCAGGAGGUUAGUGCAAUGGCAUAAGCCAGCUUGACUGCGAGCGUGACGGCGCGAGCAGGUGCGAAAGCAGGUCAUAGUGAUCCGGUGGUUCUGAAUGGAAGGGCCAUCGCUCAACGGAUAAAAGGUACUCCGGGGAUAACAGGCUGAUACCGCCCAAGAGUUCAUAUCGACGGCGGUGUUUGGCACCUCGAUGUCGGCUCAUCACAUCCUGGGGCUGAAGUAGGUCCCAAGGGUAUGGCUGUUCGCCAUUUAAAGUGGUACGCGAGCUGGGUUUAGAACGUCGUGAGACAGUUCGGUCCCUAUCUGCCGUGGGCGCUGGAGAACUGAGGGGGGCUGCUCCUAGUACGAGAGGACCGGAGUGGACGCAUCACUGGUGUUCGGGUUGUCAUGCCAAUGGCACUGCCCGGUAGCUAAAUGCGGAAGAGAUAAGUGCUG